GUUAGGAGGCAGAGCCGUGAAGUCCUGUGUACCUGAGAGCUCAGAAAAAGAGAGAAGAAAAUGUUUAGAUAGGUGGAGUGGGGAGUGCCGCGCGCCGAGGCUGGCUCUCCCCACGCAGUAUGGCAGGCGGGUGUUAUACUAGUAUAUGCUGGUCUUGAAUUCACCAUGUAACUGAGGAUGACCCUAAACUUCUCAUCUUUCUGCUUUUACCUCCUCCGAAGUGCUGGAAUUACAAGCAUGUGCCACCAGGAUCAGUUUAUGCCAAUGCAAUGGAUUAAAUCCAGGACGCCGUGUUUCCUCUACUGAGCUAUACCCACGGCCAUGCAUUUUCAGUCAGGAAAAA